rnacentral:piRNA from 1 species
UACAGACCAAGGAGAACUGGAGA